rnacentral:rRNA from 1 species
CGGAGGGUGCAAGCGUUGUCCGGAUUUAUUGGGUUUAAAGGGUGCGUAGGUGGUUUGAUAAAGUCCGGGGUGAAAGCCCACAGCUCAACUGUGGAACUGCCCUGGAUACUGUCAGACUUGAGGGUAGACGAGGUUGGCGGAAUAGAAGGUGUAGCGGUGAAAUGCAUAGAUACCUUCUAGAACCCCGAUUGCGUAGGCAGCUGACUAGGCUACACCUGACACUGAGGCAACGAAAGCGUGGGGAGCGAACAGGAUU